GGGCACUGGCAGAGGUGGGGUGGGGAGCCCAGGCCUGGGAUAGCAGGGAGCUGUGGGUUGGGGCUGAGGGGCACCAGCAAAGCACAGGGCUGGGUAGCAGGCAGAGAGAUGCCCUGUAGGUUGAGACCAGUUCCGUAACAAGGGCGAGGCGAGUGAGGCACUUGCCUCAGGUGCGCAAAGCUGAGGGGCACAGAAAAAGAUGAUGUCAGUGCGUUUGUCUGCAGAUAUAACUGUCAUUUGAGUAAUCGAGUUCUAGUAUUCCCAGUGAGCACACGCUUAUUAUGUAUUAGGACUUUUCGGAUCCGCUUAAGACCCACCAAGUGAUUGUAAAAAAAACGGCUGAAAAUAUAGAAAUACCAGCAGAAUUGAUUGAAUCCAGAAAGCGAAAAGUAAAAAGGCAGCAACUUUAUGAGUGUGCAGAUGAAUCUUCUAAUUUAUCAGCUGAUCUUUCAAGGUGAUUCGCUUGUUAAAAUGGACACUACUAAUCUUCAAAAAGCAGCAGUGGAUUUAAGACUCAAAUAUGACAGCGAUUUGAAUGCCUCCGAAAUGUCAUCAGAGAUUCAGAGUUUUAAACAUCAGGCGUCAGCGCUGUUUCCACACGUUUCAUGCACAACUAGUUUGGACCUUCUCCAGUUAAUUCAUUAAUAUAAUUUGGCCGAAUCUUAUCCAGAUUUAGAAAUUGCAUUAAGAAUAUUUCUCUGCAUGCCAGUAACUGUGGCUUCUUGCAAAAGAAGCUUCAGAAAGCUCCUAUUAAUUAAAAACUACCUUCAAGCAACCACGGGUCAGGAGAGAUUAACAAAUAUGUCCAUCUUGUCAAUAGAACAUGAAGUAGUGAAUGAUAUUAAUUUUGAUGCAAUUAUCGAUGAUUUUGCCUCAUUAAAAGCGCAAAAAGUACAAUUUUGAAAAAUAACCAUUAAUCGUAUCUGAUAUGGUUCUACAGCUAAAUUGUAUUUGUGAUUAUUUAAAUAGUAUGUUCCAUGCACUAGGAUGCACACCUUAUAUGUAUUAGUUGAUUUUGUACGUGGAACUUAUUAAAAUAAAUAAACAUUCUACUAUCAUUA